UGGGGUAUUGUGUAAUGGUAGCACACCGGACUUUGAAUCCGUUUGUCGUGGUUCGAAUCCAUGUACCCCAG
rnacentral:tRNA from 1 species